CAUCACAGUUUAACCUUUGUAUUUCAAAUGGGAGUGGGCCAUCAGUUUGUCCACUGCUGUAUGCAUCUUCUUCAGGUUUCUGGGACACAACUCAUCUAGACUAGAUUUGUUCUGCAGAAACACUGGAGAACAGAAGAAUAGCAAUACAUUUAGAGACCAUUCAGAACACUAAGCCGUCAAAAGUGUGUGUGUUGUGAUGCUUUUAAUGGGUCAUUAACUCUUUGUCAACACUAAACGGAGUCUAUUUUGUUUGGAUGCUACUGUCCAGCAAAACAAGCUUGGUAUUCCACCCCUUCAGUAAAAGAUUAGGCCACUAUGUAAAAUCGACUUUAGACAUCAAUCAAGUGGAUACACUCACUGACAUUAGUACAGUUUGAUUUUAGAAUAGAGUAAAGCAUACAACAUAGUCUCACUCUUACAAAAGCUCUCAUGACUAAAAGAACUGGACAAUGGACAUCUGACAAACAGUGAAACGUUUAUUUGACACGGAAUUCAGAAGAAAGAACUUCCAUCACGUGAAGUCAAAUCACAACUAAGAAACACCGGAAAAGUUAACGAAAAACUGCUUGUGUUUUGACGAAAAAACAAAUCUGAAUGACAGCUCCUUCUCCAUAAUAGCACUUGGGAACUUUGACAUCCUCUGCCUGCUUCCUCAUGUCUACUUUCAUUGUUGUUCAUCCAUGUUGUUUGACAAUGUAUUCUAGCCUUCCUGCUAAUAACAAGUGGAGUGAGGUGUGGGGUUGCCUGACUUCUUUCACUGGAGAUCAAGGAAGCUUAGACGUGUGAAUAUGACCUGAGCCCUAGGACCAUGCCCCAGGACUACCUGACAUGAUGACUCCUUGCUGUCCCCAGUCCACCUGGCCGUGCUGCUGCUCCAGUUUCAACUGACCUGAGCCCUAGGACCAUGCCCCAGGACUACUUGACAUGAUGACUCCUUGCUGUCACCAGUCCACCUGGCCGUGCUGCUGCUCCAGUUUCAACUGUUCUGCCUUAUUAUUAUUCGACCAUGCUGGUCAUUUAUGAACAUUUGAACAUCUUGGCCAUGUUCUGUUAUAAUCUCUACCCGGCACAGCCAGAAGAGGACUGGCCACCCCACAUAGCCUGGUUCCUCUCUAGGUUUCUUCCUAGGUUUUGGCUUUUCUAGGGAGUUUUUCCUAGCCACCGUGCUUCUACACCUGCAUUGCUUGCUGUUUGGGGUUUUAGGCUGGGUUUCUGUACAGCACUUUGAGAUAUCAGCUGAUGUACGAAGGGCUAUAUAAAUAAAUUUGAUUUGAUUUGAAUGGCAGCAGGCAGGUGUGAGUGCAUCUACACACAGAGUGAGGCAAAGACUUUGAGGUUUUCCUGGUGUCAAGAAGGGCAGCAAAAAAGCCACUUCUCUCCAGGAAAAACAUCAGGGACAGACUGAUAUUCUGCAAAAGGCACAGGGAUUGGACUGCUGAAGACUGGGGUAAAGUCAUGUUCUCUGAUGAAUCCCCUUUCUGAUUGUUUGGGGCAUCCGGAAAAAAGCUUGUCCGGAGAAGACAAGGUAGAGCGCUACCAUCAGUCCUGUGUCAUGCCAACAGUAAAGCAUCCUGAGACCAUUCAUGUGUGGGGUUGCUUCUCAGCCAAGAUGAUUGGGCUCUCUCACAAUUUUGCCUAAGAACACAGCCAUGAAUAAAGAAUGGUACCAACACAUCCUCCGAGAGCAACUUCUCCCAACCAUCCAGGAACAGUUUGGUGACGAACAAUGCCUUUUCCAGCAUGAUGGAGCACCUUGCCAUAAGGCAAAAGUGAUAACUAAGUGGCUCGAUAUUUUGGGUCCAUGGCCAGGAAACUUCGCAGAUCUUUAUCACAUGGAGAACUUGUGGUCAAUCCUCAAGAGGCGUGUGGACAAACAACAACCCACAAAUUCUGACAAACUCCAAGCAUUGAUUUUGCAAGAAUGGGCUGCCAUCAGUCAGGAUGUGGCCCAGAAGUCAAUUGACAGCAUUCCAGGGCGGAUUGCAGAGGUCUUGAAAAAGAAGGGUCAACACUGCAAAUAUUGACUCUUUGCAUCAACUUCAUGUAAUUGUCAAUAAAAGCCUUGUAGUUAUACUUCAGUAUUCCAUAGUAACAUCUGACAAAAAUAUCUAAAGACACUGAAGCAGCAAACUUUGUGAAAAUUUAUAUUUGGGUCAUUCUUAAAACUUUUGGUCACGACUGUAUGUAAACGUCCGACUUCAACUGUAUGUACAGUGCGGUAUCCAUCAUGGCAGUUGCCUUGGGCUGUUACUAUUCUCUUGUUUACAAGAAUGGACACUCUACACAUAAGCACCUACAGCCAGUGAGCUCACUGAAGCUCUUAGUAAAGAGCUACAGUCAGAGUGGGUAAUUAACAAUAAACUGGCCUUAAAUACAUCUACAACCAAAAGCAUUGUAUUUGGUUCAAAGCAUUCUCUUACACCUAAACCUCAACUGGAGUCGUGCAGGAUGUGACCAGGAUGUAACCAUUGAACAAGUUGAAGAAGCUGAACUCCAGGGAGUAACAUAUGUUAUCAAGGUCAAGUUAUAUUGACAAAGUUGUUAUAAAAAUAUGUUCUGCGUUUGUGGCACAAAGAUCAACUGUACUCGUUGUUCAGGCUCUGAUCUUGUCCCAUCUUAAUUACUGUCUGGUGAUAUGGUCAGGUUCAGCAAAGACCUAGCAAAGCUGCAGCUGGCUCAAAACAAAGCCGUGUGCCUUGCCCUUAACUGCACAAACAGAACUAACAUCAACAACAUGCAUGAUGGUCUCAUGGUUGAGGAGAAAUUGACUACUCUCGUCGAGUCUUUUGAAGAAACAUUUGUGUGUUGCAAUAUGCCUAACCACUUGUAUAAUCUAUUUACAUACACUUGAAAAAGACACAUUCCCCACCAGACAUGUCACUAUGGGUUUUCUUCACGGUACCAAACCAAAAACAGAUUUUAUCCGUUGCUUAGUUAUGUAUAGCGCCAUGUCAUAGUGGAAUGCUCUGCCACCGGAGGUUACUCAGGCAAAAAGCAAGUUUAGCUUUAAAAAACUGAUAAUAAACAUACAGUAUUGUAUCACAGCGCCUCUCCUCUUUCUAAAGAUCUGAUUUAACUGUACUGUAUAUAAUAAUAUGAAUAUACACUGAGUAUACAAACAUUAAGAACACCUGCUCUUUCCAUAGCAUAGACUGACCAGGUGAAUCCAGGUGAAAGCUAUGAACCCUUAUUGAUGUCAAUUGUUAAAUUCACUUCAAUCAGUAGGGUGAAGGGGAGGUGACUUGACACAAUUGUGACAUGGAUUGUGUAUGUGUGCCAUUCAGGGGGUGAAUGGGCAAGAUAAAAUAUUUAAGUGCCUUUAAACGGGGUAUGUUAGUAGGUGCCAGGCACAUCAGUUUGUGUCAAGAACUGCAGCGCUGCUGGGGUUUUAACGCUCAACAGUUUCCCUUGUGUAUCAAGAAUGGUCCACCACACAAAGGACUUCCAGCCAACUUGACACAAGUGUGGGAAGUAUUGGAGUCAACAUGGGCCAGAAUCCCUGUGGAAUUAUUUCGAUACCUUGUAGAGUCCAUGCCUUGAUGAAUUGAGGCUGUCCUGAGAGCAACUGUUCUGUACUUUGUCAUGUAUUUGUAUGUUUUAUGUGGACCUCAGGAAGAGUAGCUGCUGUAUGUGCAGUAGCUAAUGGGGAUCUUAGUGAACUAAAAUAAACACACGUACAUACACUUUUA